rnacentral:rRNA from 1 species
UACAGGGGGUGCAAACGUUGCUCGGAAUCAUUGGGCGUAAAGGGCGCGUAGGCGGUUUUGUAAGUCGAAUGUGAAAGCCCAGGGCUCAACCUUGGAAGUGCAUCCGAAACUGCGAAACUUGAAUCCUGGAGAGGGUGGUGGAAUUCCCAGUGUAGAGGUGAAAUUCGUAGAUAUUGGGAGGAACACCGGUGGCGAAGGCGACCACCUGGACAGAGAUUGACGCUGAGGCGCGAGAGCGUGGGGAGCAAACAGG